UACAGAGGGUGCGAGCGUUAAUCGGAAUUACUGGGCGUAAAGCGCGCGUAGGCGGCUUUGCAAGUCGGGUGUGAAAUCCCCCAGGCUUAACCUGGGAACUGCAUUCGAGACUGCAUUGCUAGAGUAUGGGGAGAGGGAAGUGGAAUUUCAGGUGUAGCGGUGAAAUGCGUAGAUAUCUGAAGGAACAUCAGUGGCGAAAAGCGACUUCCUGGACCAAUACUGACGCU
rnacentral:rRNA from 1 species